rnacentral:rRNA from 1 species
GCAUAGCCGUAAACAUUGAUAUCCCAUAUACACCCCUUAUCCGCCAGGGUACUAUAAGCAUAAGCUCAAAACCCAAAGGACCUGGCGGUGCUUUAUAACCCCCUAGAGGAGCCUGUUCUAGAACUGAUAAUCCACACUUAACCUCACCUCUUCUUGCCAAUACCGCCUAUAUACCGCCGUCGUCAGCUUACCUCAUUGAGAGUUUUAUAGUGAGCAAAAUUGGCACACCCCCAAACGUCAGGUCGAGGUGUAGUACAUGAAGAGGGAAGAAAUGGGCUACAUUCGUUAAUUAACGCAUUACGAACCACAUGUUGAAACUACAUGUUUGAAGGAGGAUUUAGCAGUAAAAAGAAAGUAG